rnacentral:tRNA from 1 species
GGCGCUAUAGCCAAGUGGUUACGGCGACAGAUUCGAACUCGCGUUGUUAUCUGUUCCUCUUUGAGGGCGCAGGUUCAAAUCCUGCUGGCGUCG